GUGGGCCGGGUGGUCGCUCUUCCCGACUUGUUCAGGAGGAGAGGAAAGUCCGAGCUCCAACCGGGCAGGGUGCUGGAUAACAUCCAGGCGGGGUGACCCGACGGAUAGCGCCACAGAAACAAACCGCUUCGGAUUGCCGGAGCAAGGGUGAAAUCGGGAGGUAAGAGCUCCCGGCCGUUCGCAGCGAUGCGACGGCGGGCAAGCCCCACCCGGAGCAAGGCCAAAUAGGGGGACUAUGGGUGCCCGACCCGUCCCCGGGUUGGCUGCACGAGGCUUUCAGCAAUGGGAGUCCCAGAGGGAUGGCCACCGCCUGUCCGCUCAUUAGGAUGAAGCCUUUCGGGGCGUAAACUGAUGGCUGGCAGGUACAGAACUCGGCUUAUAGGCCCACCG
rnacentral:RNase_P_RNA from 1 species